CACACACACACACACACACACACACACACACACACACACACACCAGUACCUGUGUCCAUGCUGAUGAAGCAGUCCCAGCUGAUGGAUGAUCCUGAAGUGGUAGCAGGUUUUCUUUAGCCGUGUUUAGCUAACAGCUGCAAUAGAAACAAAGCAGGAGAGCUGAUUAAGAUGCUGCUUCAGAACAACGCAGGCAGGGGCGCCGUAAAGCGGUGAAAGAUUAGGAAGAUUCUAAGGGCCCACAGCUGUCAGGGGCCCAAAAACGUUUCAAAGUCGAAUAAAAAAAUAUGAAGUUUAAAAAUCAUUAGUACUUUACUUUGCAGUAUUUUUUUCUCAUUUAAGACAUUAAACAAACAAUCUUUUAGUCUUUAUGAAAUGUAUAUGUAGCCCAGUGUUUUACCAAGUUAUGGUGAAUUCCUACACUCUUCUGUCAUUUAAUGCACCUUGCCUAAGUCAUGUGACGUUGAUCACAUGAUCAAAGGCCUGCACUGGCUUCCUCCCUGCAGACAUGUGGGGGAAAGCCAAGUGACAGAGCUGUUGCAGACACCGACAACUGUGAGCUGGAGCCUUGUAGGGUCAUCAUACACCAUACAGAAGCUGGAAUUGGUGGUGUUGGACUCAGCUGGGUCAAGAGCUGGGUCGCUGAGAACUUUCACCCACAGAUUGAGACCUUUGCAGACAUGAAGUCUGCAAGAGUCUGCUGGAAACCAUAACAUCUGCCACCUGCAGCUUCGUGCCAGAAGAUGUUGUUCCCACAGAAGAUGUUGUUCCCAUGGAAGUAGUCAUAACAUAACAAGUCUUAAACUUCCUUUCUUGAUUUUAAUGUUAAAGAAUAAUCAUUAUCAUUUUGCUCAUUAUAAAUGUGUUUUAAUCAAAUGAAUGAUUCAUAUGCUUUGAGUAAUUAUAAUGGAUUAAUGAAUCCAUACUUAAUACUUAAUAAUGUUUGAGGAUGUUUGUUAACGACCUUCACGCACACACACACUCACACACAGAUUCUCACAGUAAACUCCAAAACACAUUUGCUGACGUACACGUUUUGCUUUGAGAAGAGAAAGGCUUUUGGUAAGUUUCAGUUUUAGGAUUCAGUUUGGGUUGGACAAUGAAAGAGAGAGGACCUGAAGAAAUCAAAGGGGGGACAGAGCCG